AAUAUACCACCCUAAAAGACCCACCUCCAUGUAUUUAGGAAUUUUCAUGAGGAAGUUUGGCAUAGAACUCAUUGAAGUUUGAAAAUUAUUGAAAGCUAGGUUAAUACUCAUGGAAGAGUUGAGUUAACUAUCGAGUGUUUCUAAAUGUUAUCACAAUUAGAAGUCAAGUUAAUUCGUGAAUAUUUAAAAACAUUUCAAAAUGACAUCUAAAAUUAUAUUUUUGUAUUUUGUCGUGCAGUUAAUUGGCGAGUAGUUUCGAAAAGGAAUUUACCUUAUUUUAUGGGAUUUUCUACCUCAAGCAGCUGGAGUGGAUCACCAAGCGGGAGCACAAUUUAAUCUAAGAUUUUUUUCUUAUAUACUACUCCAUUCCAUGUAGAGCAGAAGGGGGAAGAAUUGUUGGAAGUCACCUGUAGACUCGCAAGAAAAUCCUGAUAUAUGCAGUUUUUAUGGGUCCCAGAAAUAUUCAUUCAACCAUUUUCUAGGUGCAGUUUUUUUGCAUCGACCCUUUUUUUAAGUUGAUCAGGAGUCGACAGUGUUAGUCCAAGACAGCAGACUAAUUUAGCAAUAUAUUUACUUGAAGCAAACUGGUAAUUAAUUUGUACCUUCAUCUAUAUCUAUUUAGCAGUUUUAACUGGAUUCCCUGUGGUAUCGUACAAUUCAUAUUUAUUUUAAUUAUUUUUUCUUGCUAUUUGUACUUCCAAUAUUGAAUAUAAUUAUACCAGGUGCGUCUCAUGUGGUCUCAAGUGGCCCACCC